rnacentral:lncRNA from 1 species
AGAGGGAAUGGAUUUAAGGACACACAGCAGGAGCUGGCUGAAUUUAUUUUAUUUUGACGGGGGUAGUUGGGGGAGGAAUAUCAUUUCUGAAAUGCACAAGGAAUGAAGGGAGAGGAUAUGGAUUGCUUAAACAGUUUUUGCAAGAGGAGCGGUGUCUUGUUCUGCAGGUUAGGCUUCUCAGUCCCUCUGGAGCUGCAUGAUGGAGGCAGUAAGCCAGAUAUCUAUUUCCCCUGGUGAGAGCCCCUGAUGGUUUUGACCGCUGAUAACUGAGAAAAUGUUUACAAAUGACAGUACUAGAAAGAAAACCAUGAAGAGCAACAUAAUGGAUGUCAAAAGUUAAGUUUUGUAGGAGCUUGAAAAUUCCUCAGAAAAAAAUGGUCAUGGAUAAGAAAAGAGAAGGAGAAAAUCAGCAGGCAAGAGACUGGUGGGAGUCCUUUGACACAUGAGGAGCCUAAACUAACAUUGUCGUCUGAGAGGACCUCCAGACAACUGUAUGAAUGGGGCUGAAGGAACAUGACAGGUCACGACUUCAGAGAAUGCAGAGAGGAGUGAAGAGCCAUUUGCCAAAGUACAAAAGAGGGAAUGUGAUUCCACAGGAUCUGUGCCAUAAAUAACCCUUAUGGCUCUUAUUCAAUUAGCGCUCCCUUUUCCAAGAGGACAAUCAAUGCUGCCAAACUGGAUGAAAUAUUUAGUUCAAGAUAUGCAGAUCCCUGAGAUCAAACAGAGUGUAAUGCUUAGUUAUGAAAUUCUUUCCCUCAAAUCUGCCAUUGAUCAGCUACUCCAGCCCCUCAUCUGAAGAGGAAUUCUGCAGGAUCUGCCUCCUAGGCAUGGGAACAUGACAAUAACUUUCCAGAAUGCUUGUGCCUACACCUUACAACAAACAGACAUGCCUUUGCCAAAAACAUCUCACUUCACAAGAUUGGAGCGGUGGCCCCUUUACUCAAGAAUGAGGUCAACUUCAUGCUGGAAUAAUGAACGUACCGACUUUUAAGAAACUCCUGUUCUUAUUGUGAGAAGAAAUUUCAUAGUUUCCUCUAUGGUCUUGUUUUGAAAAUUUUAAUGUUUAGACACUACUAAGUAGUUUAGAUUCUAAGCCUCUCUUGAAAUUCUUCUCUCUAUAUUUAUGUGGAAGACAGAAGACUGGCCACCCAAUGAUGUCUUGGAUGUGUAAAUAUGGUACGUUCCAUGAAAAACCAUGGAAACAAACUUUGUUACAUUAUGGUAAAGUCAUCAGCUGACCUUCAAAUAAGGAGGUUAUUCUGGAUUAACCAGGCGGGCCCAGUGUAAUCAAAGAGUUCUAAAAAGUGGAGGUGGGAGGCAGAGGCAGAGUCAGUGUUGGAGUGAUACAGUGUGAGAAAGACCCAACCUCCUUAAUAAGAGACUAUCAAGAAUGAUAUACACAAGCCUAUUUAGCAUAACUCAGCAAAAAAUUUUCCCGGAAAAAAAAAA